AACGCGAAGAACCUUACCCAGGCUUGACUUCCUUGGAAUUUCUCCGAAAGGAGAGAGUGCUUUAUUGAACCAAGUGACAGGUGCUGCAUGGCCGUCGUCAGCUCGUGUCGUGAGAUGUUUGGUUAAGUCCAUCAACGAGCGCAACCCUUAUGUUUAGUUGGAUUUUUCUAAACAGACCGCCCUGGCAACAGGGAGGAAGGAGGGGAUGAUGUCAGGUCAGUAUUGCCCUUACGCCUGGGGCUACAAACACGCUACAAUGGCCGGUACAAAGGGCUGCCAAGUCGCGAGACGGAGCAAAUCCCAUCAAAGCCGGUCCCAGUUCGGAUUGCAGGCUGAAACUCGCCUGCAUGAAGUCGGAAUCGCUAGUAAUGGUAGGUCAGCUAUACUACCGUGAAUACGUUCCCGGGCCUUGUACACACCGACUGUAC
rnacentral:rRNA from 1 species